GGCGGCGGCGGCGGGGACCCGCGGCAUUGUGCGGGCGGCUCCGCGCCCUGCGCCCCGAGGGGGCUGGGGCGGCCCCUCGGCACCGGCACCGGCACCGGCAGCAGCACCGGUAGCGGUACCCAGCACCGGGAGCAGCACCGGGAGCAGCUCCAAGCACCAGGACCCGCACCGGUACCGGCACCGACGUCAGAACCAGUCCUGACAGCAGCAGCAGCACCGGCACCAGUAUCCACACUGGUACCAGCAUCAGCAUCGACACCGGCGUCAGCACCUAGAUCAGCACCGGCAUCACCAUCAGCAUCAGUAUUAACACCGGCAUCACCGUCAGCACCAGCAUCAGCACCAGUAUCACCAUUAGAACCAGUAUCACCAUUAGAACCAGUAUCACCACCUGCACCAGCAUCACCACCAGCACCAGUAUCACCAUCACCACCAGUAUCAACCCCAACGCCAGCACCGACACCGACGCCGGAUCCUGCACGGCCCAGCCCGAGCUGGGGUCACUCGUCCCACCUGCUCCCACGGACGAGGGGACCGUGACUCGCCGCCUGCCCCAGAGCCGCUCCGAGGGGCACAGCGGUUGGAGCAGGGGGGGACCCAGCCCGCAGCCCCCAUCCCUGUGCAGCCCCUGGGAGCCGCAGGCCGGGGCUCAGAGCAGCACCCAGGGCACCGCGGAGACGCAGCUGGGCCAGGCUGGAGGGCGCCCGGUGAGGAUGCUGGAUGGGGACGUGGCGGGGUGGAGGGUCCCGGACCCCUGAGCAUCCCCUUCCCCCAUGAUGCUGCAACCAGGGGGGCUUCCCGUGCCCAAAUCUGCCAGCUGGGCACUGGGGAUGGGGCAGCCCCAUGGGGAAGGGCUCGCUGGGUCCCCACCACCCCACAGGGAUGCUGAGCGGAGGGGA
rnacentral:lncRNA from 1 species